CCUACGGGGGGCAGCAGUGGGGAAUAUUGCACAAUGGGCGCAAGCCUGAUGCAGCCAUGCCGCGUGUGUGAAGAAGGCCUUCGGGUUGUAAAGCACUUUCAGCGGGGAGGAAGGCGGUGAGGUUAAUAACCUCAUCGAUUGACGUUACCCGCAGAAGAAGCACCGGCUAACUCCGUGCCAGCAGCCGCGGUAACACGGAGGGUGCAAGCGUUAAUCGGAAUUACUGGGCGUAAAGCGCACGCAGGCGGUCUGUCAAGUCGGAUGUGAAAUCCCCGGGCCCAACCUGGGAACUGCAUUCGAAACUGGCAGGCUAGAGUCUUGUAGAGGGGGGUAGAAUUCCAGGUGUAGCGGUGAAAUGCGUAGAGAUCUGGAGGAAUACCGGUGGCGAAGGCGGCCCCCUGGACAAAGACUGACGCUCAGGUGCGAAAGCGUGGGGAGCAAACAGGAUUAGAUACCCGGGUAGUC
rnacentral:rRNA from 1 species